rnacentral:tRNA from 1 species
GCCGGAGUGGCGGAAUGGCAGACGCGGCGGACUCAAAAUCCGUUGAUGGCAACAUCGUGUGGGUUCAACUCCCACCUCCGGCACCA